rnacentral:lncRNA from 1 species
CAGUAGCAGGUCUAUUCUGCCAUCUAUAAAAAGAGCAUGUGAAGGCAGAUAUGCCAGUGCCAUAGCUGAGAGAUGGACGAACGAACUACUCACAUAGGCCACUGGUCCCUCCAGUGGAUUUGAUGUGACACCUAAGACUCAGAGGCAUCAGGAGAUCUCCCACUAGCUGCAAAGGGAUGUAUGGUACAGGAUAGCAUCCUUUGUGCAGUGCUUCGAUUCAAGCCAGCCACACGCGAGCCUUGCUACAUGGCACUGAGGACUGAGCACUUGCUUCCUGCAUCGUUGCGGGUAUCACUUAUCAGUCCAGUCCUGGUAUGCAGUUCCAGCCUUGCUUGUUUUGUCAUUGGAGCAAGUCUAUGGCUAAAGUUAAGUUGAACAAAGCACGGUGGAUGUCUUAUGGUUAACCAAUCCUUAAAUCUUGCAGCAUGGGGAACACCAAAUUGACACAUGAUUUGAACACAACACAGUUUCAUCAGUCUAGGUGCCCUUAGUUGUCAAUGU